rnacentral:lncRNA from 1 species
GCCUGGCCUGACUUGAGAUUUUACUACUUCGAACUAUUUCAUUUGACAAUAUUUCUUUUGACAUAGAAAAAUUGGAGUUUUAUUGCCAAAUCAGCUUUUACAAGAUACUCUUUACUGAUAGUAAAGUUGAAGAUUGGCAGAAUUCUAGGUUCGGAUAGAGGUGUCCCAUCCAACUACUCUAGAUGGUAGGUCCGAGGCAUAUUGCCUCAGUAAUACGGUACAGUCCUUCCUAAUUAGGCAAAAGCUUUUCUUGUUCAAUGGGUUGGCUAACUUCAAUUCUUUUGAGUACCAGGUCUCUGGGUCAGAAGUGCUUCUCCUUCACUCUAGAGUUAUAGUAAUGAGCAACACAUUGAUGAUAUGCCAUCAUUCAAACUCAUACCUUCUCCUAAACUUCCUCCAGA